rnacentral:rRNA from 1 species
AUUGAACGCUGGCGGCAGGCCUAACACAUGCAAGUCGAACGAGUGGCGGACGGGUGAGUAUGGUCUGGGAAACUGCCUGAUGGAGGGGGAUAACUACUGGAAACGGUAGCUAAUACUGCAUACCAUCAGAUGUGCCCAGAUGGGAUUAGCUGGUUGGUGGGGUAACGGCUCACCAAGGAGACGAUCCCUAGCUGGUCUGAGAGGAUGACCCGCCACACUGGAACUGAGACACGGUCCAGACUCCUACGGGAGGCAGCAGUGGGGAAUAUUGCACAAUGGGCGCAAGCCUGAUGCAGCCACUCCGCUUGUAUGAAGAAGGCCUUCGGGUUGUAAAGUACUUUCAGCGGGGAGGCGUUACCCGCAGAAGAAGCACCGGCUAACUCCGUGCCAGCAGCCGCGGUAAUAC